GGGUCAGUGAUGAGAACCUUGUAUUGUCUUGAAAAGAAGUGAUGACUUAAAAAUCAUGCUCAAUAGAUUACGCUGAGGCCC
ensembl:snoRNA SNORD115 Small nucleolar RNA SNORD115